rnacentral:rRNA from 1 species
UACGGGGGGGGCAAGCGUUGUUCGGAAUUACUGGGCGUAAAGGGUGCGUAGGCGGUCCGCUAAGUUGGAUGUGAAAACUCUGGGCUUAACCCAGAGCCUGCAUUCAAAACUGACGGGCUAGAGUUCUGGAGGGGGUAGCGGAAUUCCUGGUGUAGCGGUGAAAUGCGUAGAUAUCAGGAGGAACACCUGUGGUGUAGACAGCUUACUGGACCAUUUCUGACGCUGAGACACGAAAGCGUGGGUAGCAAACAGG